AGGAAAAUUAAAAUGUGAAGCAAUUGUUGCUGACGUCCUGGAUAAAGGAUCCAGUUUAAUAAUUCUUAUGGAUGUCUACUCUUAUUCUGGGGAGGAACUUAUAUGUUAUAAUCAGUUCUCCAUCUUUGUUGUUGGCGCUGGAGGCUUUGGUGGAAAACGGACAUCAGACAAAGCUAAGUUCCCAGAAUAGGACUGCACUGUCUUCCUAGGAGGAGCAGCUCACUCAUUUUUCCUAUUACCCCCACCCCGGCUCCCCGGCCCCAGCUUGUGUUGCAGAAGCUCAAUUCCAGGUAA